rnacentral:misc_RNA from 1 species
AUGGAGAAUUGAUGAACGCUGUUCAUCAAUAAAGUUUCCGUGUUUCGUUUUGUUCAGUUUUGAGAGAACUAUCUCUCAUAUAUAAAUAUAUGUUCUUUGAAAACUAGAUAACAGUGUAGCUCAUAUUUUUUAAUUUUUAGUUU